CACUCCUGCGGGAGGCAGCAGUGGGGAAUUUUGGACAAUGGGCGAAAGCCUGAUCCAGCAAUGCCGCGUGUGUGAAGAAGGCCUUCGGGUUGUAAAGCACUUUUGUCCGGAAAGAAAUCCUUGGCUCUAAUACAGUCGGGGGAUGACGGUACCGGAAGAAUAAGCACCGGCUAACUACGUUCCAGCAGCCGCGGUAAUACGUAGGGUGCGAGCGUUAAUCGGAAUUACUGGGCGUAAAGCGUGCGCAGGCGGUUUGCUAAGACCGAUGUGAAAUCCCCGGGCUCAACAUGGGAACUGCAUUGGUGACUGGCAGGCUAGAGUAUAGCAGAGGGGGGUAGAAUUCCACGUGUAGCAGUGAAAUGCGUAGAGAUGUGGAGGAAUACCGAUGGCGAAGGCAGCCCCCUGGGCCAAUACUGACGCUCAUGCACGAAAGCGUGGGGAGCAAACAGGAUUAGAAACCCCUGUAGUCCCAUGA
rnacentral:rRNA from 1 species